rnacentral:rRNA from 1 species
GACGAACGCUGGCGGCGUGCCUAAUACAUGCAAGUAGAACGCUGAAGGAGGAGCUUGCUUCUCUGGGUGAGUUGCGAACGGGUGAGUAACGCGUAGGUAACCUGCCUGGUAGCGGGGGAUAACUAUUGGAAACGAUAGCUAAUACCGCAUAAUAGUAGAUGUUGCAUGACAUUUGCUUAAAAGGUGCAAUUGCAUCACUACCAGAUGGACCUGCGUUGUAUUAGCUAGUUGGUGGGGUAACGGCUCACCAAGGCGACGAUACAUAGCCGACCUGAGAGGGGGAGCGGCCACACUGGGACUGAGACACGGCCCAGACUCCUACGGGAGGCAGCAGUAGGGAAUCUUCGGCAAUGGACGGAAGUCUGACCGAGCAACGCCGCGUGAGUGAAGAAGGUUGUCGGAUCGUAAAGCUCUGUUGUAAGAGAAGAACGAGUGUGAGAGUGGAAAGUUCACACUGUGACGGUAUCUUACCAGAAAGGGACGGCUAACUACGUG